rnacentral:tRNA from 1 species
GCGGGAAUGGCGAAAUUGGUAGACGCACCAGAUUUAGGUUCUGGCGCCGUGAGGUGUGUGGGUUCAAGUCCCUCUUCCCGCACCAUUU